rnacentral:piRNA from 1 species
UGCUCACCCUUCAACAUGCCUGGUUU